AAGGGUGUUUAUAGAUUUAUAAAUGUUUGUUUACAAUUUGUAAGUGUCUAGUGCUGUGGUUUCAAUAUGCUUUGUGGCUCAUAUUAAUCCUGAAUUUAUAGCUCACUGAUUGUGAGUUAAUUAGUGUGAUUUGUAAAUCAAUAAAUUCCUUCAGUCCUUAUUUAAAAUAUGUGAACUGAGCAGCUGUUCCCUGAGACUGUAUUCCAGCUCUUACUUUUUGGACACUAAAAAGCAAAAGUGCAAUAACCACCAGUGCUGUCCAGGGUAGAAGUAGA
rnacentral:lncRNA from 1 species